CCAUUGGUCUACUUUUGGCAUUCAGAGGAAAUCACAGAUACCUUGCCUGCACCACCUUAAGAAUUACAUUCGGACAACGUGCUAUACUAUAUAGUAACAUAUUAGUCUACAAUGAGUUUGAACCCAAGACUUUCAUGUAAUUUUAUCUCAGCGUCCCGUCACUAAAUCUCCAUGCCACAAAUUUACUCACAGUGACACAGUAGACUUGGAUAAAGCUCUUGGCUACCUAUCAUAGGGAUCGAGUUCGAGUCCCGAUUAGAACUGAGUUGUGUUUACUGAGUGCCUAAAGACUGCACGGAAACCAUCUUCUAGAUAUCCCCUCCCCCCCCC